rnacentral:rRNA from 1 species
GGUUCGAUCACAUCAGAUUGAACGCUGGCGGAUGCUUUACACAUGCAAGGUCGAACGGCAGCACGGACUUCGGUCUGUGGCGAGGCGAACGGGUGAGUAAUGCAAUCGAACGUUUUCCGGGGCGGGGAUAACUACGCGAAAGCGUAGCAUUACCGCGCUACUGCCCCCUCAGGCGGGGACCUUCGGGGCCCGCACUAUUAGAGGAUGGCCGAUUAGCCGGAUUAGCUAGUUGGCGGGUAACGGGCUCACCAAGGCGACGAUCUGUAGCUGGUUUGAGAGAGGUGACGACUAGCCACUAGACUGAGACACACCCAGACUCCUACGGGGAGGCAAGGCGGGAAUUUUGAUAAUGGGGGAAACUCCCGAUCCAGGCCAUCUCUAGCGUGCGCGAUGAAGGCCUCGGUGCCGUAAAGCACUAGCAGGAAAGAAACGGCACGGGAUAAUACUCCGCGCAACCGACGGCGUUCGCAGAAUACACCGGCUAACCACGCGGACUACACCGCGGUAUCACGUGGGGCGCAGCGUUAAUCGGAAUACCGGGCGGGCGUGCGCAGGCGGUUCGGAAAGAGAUGCGAAAUCCCAGUAUUUAACUUUGAACUGCAUUUUUAACUACCGAAUAGAGCGUCAGAGUGGAGAAUCCGGGCGCGGCAGUGAAACGCGGAUACGCGGAGAACACCGAUGGCGAAGGCAGCCUCCCGGGGAUAACACUGACGCUCAUGCACCCAAAAAAGGGGGGAAGCAAACAGGAUUAGAUUACCCCGGUAGUCCACGCCCUAAACGAUGUCAACCAAAUUCCCGCCUGCGUAGCGCAGCGCUAACGCGCGAAGUUGACCGCCUGUGAGUACGCAACGCAAAGAUUAACUCAAAGGAAUAGACCCGCACAGCGGUGGAUGAUGCGGAUUAAUCGAUAACGCGAAAACCUACCUACCCUGACAUGUCUGAAUCCCGAAGAGAUUUGGGAGUGCUCGCAAGAAACUGAACAGGUGCGCCAGCUGUCGUCAUUGCGUCGUGAGAUGUUGGGUUAAGUCCCGCAACGAGCGCAACUCCUGUCAUUAGCCGUUAAGCCGAAAGCGGCACUCCAUGAAUGCCGGUGACAAAACCGGAGGAAGGUAAGACGUCGCCUCUCAUGGCCCUUAUGGGUAGGCUUCACGUCAUACAAUGGUCGGGACAGAGGGUCGCCAACCCGCGAGGGGGAGCCAAUCCCAGCAAACCCGAUCGCAGUCCGGACUGCAGUCUGCAACUCGACUGCGCAAGUCGGAAUCGCCAGUAACGCGGAUCAGCAUGUCGUGUGAAUACGUUCCUGGUCUUGCAUACACCGCCCGGUCAGCACCAUGGGAGUGGCUUUACCAGAGGGCGAAGCAGCCUAACUGUAAGGGAGGGCGAUUACCACGGUAGGAUUCAUGACUGGGGUGAAGUCGUAACAAGGUAG